AACUAAAGGAACUGAGAAUAGGUGGAGAAAAUCGAAAUGUCAAAAGGAAAAUGAUGUAUUCUCUGUUUGGUCGCUGCAUUUCACAGAAAAUGGCACGAUUUUGUUUUCAGCCUCUCCUAUUAUUUCUCUUAAUAGUCGUAUCAGAAUGCAGAGCUGCCUCACCAGGUACUGAGACUGUGUCUGGGCAUCAGGAAGGUGACAUAGUUCUCUCAUGUUUAAAUCCAAACGUGAUGGAUCCAAAGAGCACCUACAGAGUCCAGUGGAAAAAGUAUGUCACAAACACCAGCCGGAUGGAGGUCAUUUUUAUGUGGCCGCAGAAACGCCAAAAUGCAAAACGUAUGAAAUGGGAAGCUGAUGGAGGUGGAAAAGGGGGACUUUAUCUGUCAAAGCUACAAAAAUCAGACGAAGGACUGUACAGUUGUGAGAUCUGGCAGGGAUGGGGCAUCGUUCUGAGCAAAAACAUAUCUUUAAAAGUGAAAGACUGUAAAGCCCUUCCACCGGUGACCGCAGCACCCGGCACAUCUGUUCGGCUCAACUGCCCAUUGAACGUCACAUCAGGGCGGCAAAAUGUCUCCUGGAUGAUGCUGAAAGGAAACAAACAUGUUUCUGUCAACUCUAAAAGGUUUCAAGUCAACGGCACGUCCCUGGUUAGCCAGUCUGUGACCACUAGCGACAGCGGCUGGUACAGAUGCAGUCACAUGCUGGGGCAAACUCAGCGCUGCUUGGUCACCAAUCUGCUGGUCCAAGAAGUGAGAACUGUUUUUGUGGCUACAACAGUUCCGCUUAUUAUAACAACAGCUCAGGAAGUGACAGUCAGAGGUGUUGCAUCGACAAACAGGACUGAGAAGAGCAGUGGAGCUUUGAUUGCACUCGUGGCAUCGGUUGUUUUGGGGAUCAUCAUAAUUGCAUCGCUGAUUGGAUUAUUCAUGUACCGCAGAUCUAAGAACCAGAGUAUCACGUAUCGAGAUCACACUGCAGACUCUGUGAGUGCCUACGAGUGUGUGGAUUUCUCAGGUUCACAAGUCCAUUAUUAGUCAUUUCCAGACCGCCGAAGAAAAAGAAGAUGCAUUUCUUCUAAUCCAGAACAUUCUUGCAUUAUAUAUAAAUCUGUAAUAUGCAGCCUCUUGCUUCUUAUCUUGUUUGGAUCAAAAUAUCUAAUCACCUGUAUCAUUCCAGUUAAAUGGAGACGUGCUUACGAUGUAAUCUUUCAAAAAAUAUAUAUACACUACCAUUCAAAAGUUUGGGGUUACCCAGACAAUUUCAAACUCACACUUUUACUCAUGUGCCAACAUAAUCGCACAAGGCUUUUCUAAUCAUCAAUUAGCCUUCAACACCAUUAGCUAACACAAUGUAGCAUUAGAACACAGGAGUGAUGGUUGCUGGAAAUGUUCCUCUGUACUCCUAUGGAGAUAUUCCAUUAAAAAUCAGCUGUUUCCAGCUAGAAUAGUUAUUUACCACAUUAACAAUGUCUACACUGUAUUUCUGAUUUAUUUAAUGUUAUCUUCAUUGAAAAAAAUGCUUUUCUUUCAAAAAAUAAGGUCAUUUGUAAGUGACCCUAAACUUUUUAACAGUAAUGUAUAUAUAAAUUAAAGGAAGAUCUUGAAUCCUUGACCUCUAGAGUGACGAGAUCCAGUGACUAUGUUAUACUGUGGAGGGCAUUUUUCUGGCAUGGUUGGGGUCCACUUGUACCCUUAGAAGAACGACGCAUUGCUAAUCAAUAAAAACAAUCACUUUCAUCCAAAGAUGGAACAAAUCAAUCCUGAUGUGAGCAAUCAAUGCCUGCAUCCAUGGGGCACGAAAGGUCAUAAAAUCAUAAUUAAGUCAUAAUAAUCGAUGUAAAAUGCCAUGUUUUGUCCACACCGCAAAGAUUUUCAGUUCACUGUCAUAGAGGAGUAAAGAAACCAGAAAAUAUUCUAAUUUAAAAAGCAUUUUUUAUUUAAAAAAAUGACUAAAAAUUAUAUAUCAAUUGACAAUUAAUUUAAUAGUUGAUAACUAAUUGAUUAUGCAUUGCAUCUGUAACCUAGAUCAUCCCUUUUAGAUGUCUUAAGCUAAGUCUGGAGGUAUUGUACCUAUCUUGAACUGGAAUUACGACAAGUCAAAAUGUGACAUUUAAUAAUUCAGGUCUUCCUAGUUAAAAGGACAUUUCAGACAGCCACGAUAAGAUUUCUCCAAGGGCAAAUUAUAUCACUUUUAUUAUUGUUGUGUAUGGAGUUUCUCAUCACAGAUAUCAAUAAUUUAUCUGCAGAUAUCUUCAAUUUAAACUGUGAUAUCUGCACUGUAAUGCAGAGUUCCAGAGGCUUCAAGUUCCAUUAAGUCUGCUUUAGCAACACAUGGUGGCCUGACACUUUACUAAGACACUUUUUGUUGGUUUUUCCUUUAAUUUUUCCAUUAAAUAUAAUGCAUAAUCACGACAAACAAGUCAUAAACCAUGAUUUCUGUUUCUGUCAGUUACAAGGAAGAAUCCUCUUUCAGAUGUUGGUGUUUAAAUGGUGUUUAUUUUU
ensembl:lncRNA